rnacentral:rRNA from 1 species
UACAGAGGUCCCAAGCGUUGUUCGGAUUCACUGGGCGUAAAGGGCGCGUAGGCGGCUUCUUAAGCGUGUGGUGAAAGCUCGGGGCUCAACCUCGAGUCGGCCAUGCGAACUGGGAGGCUUGAGCACUGUAGAGGCAGGUGGAAUUCCGGGUGUAGCGGUGGAAUGCGUAGAGAUCCGGAAGAACACCGGUGGCGAAGGCGGCCUGCUGGGCAGUAGCUGACGCUGAGGCGCGACAGCGUGGGGAGCAAACAGG